CAGCAGCCGCGGGAAUACGAAGGGUGCAAGCGUUAAUCGGAAUUACUGGGCGUAAAGCGUGCGUAGGCGGUGAGUUAAGUCUGCUGUGAAAUCCCCGGGCUCAACCUGGGAAUGGCAGUGGAUACUGGUUCGCUAGAGUGUGUCAGAGGAUGGUGGAAUUCCCGGUGUAGCGGUGAAAUGCGUAGAGAUCGGGAGGAACAUCAGUGGCGAAGGCGGCCAUCUGGGACAACACUGACGCUGAGGCACGAAAGCGUGGGGAGCAAACAGGAUUAGAUACCCCAGUAGUCCCUGUCUCUUAUAC
rnacentral:rRNA from 1 species